AUUGAACGCUGGCGGCAGGCCUAACACAUGCAAGUCGAACGAGUGGCGGACGAGUGAGUAAUGUCUGGGAAACUGCCCGAUGGAGGGGGAUAACUACUGGAAACGGUAGCUAAUCCCGCAUACCAUCGGGUGUGCCCAGAUGGGCUUAGCUAGUAGGUGGGGUAAUGGCUCACCUAGGCGACGAUGCCUAGCUGGUCUGAGAGGAUGACAGGCCACACGGGAACGGAGACACGGGCCAGACUCCUACGGGAGGCAGCAGUGGGGAAUAUUGCACAAUGGGAGCAAGCCUGAUGCAGCCAUGCCGCGUGUGUGAAGAAGGCCUGCGGGUUGUAAAGCACUUUCAGCGGGGAGGCGUUACCCGCAGAAGAAGCACCGGCUAACUCCGUGCCAGCAGCCGCGGUAAUUC
rnacentral:rRNA from 1 species